rnacentral:lncRNA from 1 species
UCAAACACGGCCGAUUGAUCCUUAGUUUCCCCAUCCUUAUCCACACACUUCUAUCAGUCGAUUUAUUGACUGAGAGAUCGGCUAUAUGUUUAUCGGUCAUAUACCCUUAACCACACUCCAUUCGGCUGUACGUCACUCAAUUGUUGUGCUGACGUGAUCAAGUCGAUACAACCACACCUAGUUACCUAGAAUAACACUUAAGCACAUCUCAAUUAAGAC